GGGAAUAUAGCUCAGCGGUAGAGCAACUGACUCUUAAUCAGCAGGUCGUAGGUUCAAUCCCUACUGUUCCCC
rfam:Cryptococcus amylolentus CBS 6039 supercont1.15, whole genome shotgun sequence.